rnacentral:rRNA from 1 species
GACGAACGCUGGCGGCGUGCUUAACACAUGCAAGUCGAACGAAGUGGCGAACGGGUGAGUAACGCGUAAUCCACCUGCCCUUCAGAGGGGGCCAACAGUAGGGAACGACUGCUCCUACCGCAUACUGAAGGAGGGGCUGGCGUUGGAUUAGCUAGUUGGAGGGGUAACGGCCCACCAAGGCGAGGAUCAGUAGCCGGUCUGAGAGGAUGAACGGCCACAUUGGGACUGAGACACGGCCCAGACUCCUACGGGAGGCAGCAGUGGGGAAUCUUCCGCAAUGGACGAAAGUCUGACGGAGCAACGCCGCGUGAGUGAUGACGGCCUUCGGGUUGUAAAGCUCUGUUAAUCGGGACGCGGUACCGGAAUAGAAAGCCACGGCUAACUACGUGCCAGCCGCCGCGGUAAUUC